CCGGGUAACCGCAUGGAGCGGAAUGGGACUGUAAAUCCCAGGCGGAAACGCACCGGAGGUUCGAUUCCUUCUACCCGGACC
rnacentral:tRNA from 2 species